UAUGAGGUUAUUUGGAAAUUUAGCAUGAAUGAGCAGAUCUAGGUCAAGAAUUUAGAAUCCAAAAAUUACAGUGUCAAAUAUACUCCCUCCUGUUCUUAUGAACCUAUUGAAGUUGAUGUUUCCAUGGACCUAAAGCCAUCCCUCUCCUUGCCCAUCUUCCUGAAUCUUAGGGUUGGACUGAAAAAAGAAUCAUGGUAAAAUAUCCAAAACCCUCAAGUCUGUCCCUGGUAACACAGGAAGGUAGAUAUUAGAGAACUGAUGUCUAAUGGGACUACAGAAACACAUUCAAUAGUUCAUGUUGUCCUUUGCUUUCCUGAUGUCUGGUAAUUUUUGGAUAAAAUGUGGAUUUGGGAGUUUAUCAUUGAAAUGGGAACACAAUACUUACACUGUUAUAAUGACUCUAUAACUGGGCCCACUUUUGUUCCAAAACAAUUGCAAAAUAAUGAAAUUGGAAAACGGAAUUGUUGAGUAAACAUUCAGAAAUAUAUAUAAAGUUCACUAUCAAGGAAUGUAAAAUUGGAAAAUGUAGUAAAAUAUUCAUUCAUUUAAAGGUCUGUAGGAAAAACACUGGCCAUAGGAAACAGAGAAAACCUAGAAAAUUGAUUUGUAUGUCACAGAAAUUGACUGGGAUUAAAAAUAUUAUCUAGAAGAAUCUCUUCCCCUCCAUGUUCCUAAUUUUUUUCUACCAGUAACAAGCCCCUGACUAUCUCCAUUCAGAAUAUGUAACCACUAAUGAAGCAAAGAGAAGUCUCUAGGUUUAGAGAGAUGUAUGUAAAGGUUUCCACUGUGUCACAGGAGACACUCCUGGAAAGGGCACCCUCUAAUCUGGUCAAUGUAAGGAAAGCUGUUUAGCAGGUAGGACAAGGCAGUUCUCAGUCACAUCACCAUUAAGACCUCAACGAAAAAUCUCUUGUAACCUGGAGAGUAGUAGAUUCUUCUGUGAUGUCACAAGUGUUGUCGUGACAUUAACUGCCUCUCAGAUAUUCCUUAAGUACCUCUACCUCUAGGGUUUACUAAUUGGCCUAUAAUUCAAAGUAAACAGCCAUUUGUGAGAGAGAAGAUCAAGGAGGAGGGAUAGGGAGAAGGAAGCUGGCCUUCUGUCUUGGUAUAAAAAGAACAAAUAUGUGCUCCUUGGUAAAGCUCAGCUAUGGUGUUGUGAAGACAAGAUACCACAUGUGCAGCUGUGAAUAAGUCUGAGAAGGCUGACUUCUUGGAUUUCUGAAGCAUUACUAAGUGAUCCAGAGGAAAUCAGCACGCCCUGCUCAGCAGAGCUCUGGGAAUGCUGACACUCUUGCUUCAUGUUUAUAUUAACCUAGGUCAAAAGAUCACCUGUCAGGAAAAAUAGUCCUGAGGAAGGAGGGACAACAAGUAUUGUAUCGUCAUGUCAUCUCAAGAAAAACUCUCAAAACUCAUCCUGGCUGACAAUGUAGAUUAGACGCAUCAGAUGAAAUGAAUUGAAAAACUCUCCUGGGAAUGAAAGUGGUAAGGAAAUCACAUUGAUGUAUCCUAAAUGCAGUGCUAAGAGCAAUAUUCAGACUAGUCUGUGGAGAUGCUGCUGUCAUCAGAGACCACAGACAAUUAGUGGAGAAUGAUUCAGCAUUAAACUGGGAAUGGAAGAUGAUGGUUGAUAUUGUUCUAGUAGAUCUCACUACAUUAAAAAGUGUUUCUUCCAGAUAACUGAAUGAUUAUUGUAAAGCAAAUCCCGGAAUGAACUUAUGAGACCCACCAUCAGCCUGUCAAAUAAUGUGCGAAAGAAGAAAUCUGUGUCUCUCCAGGGACAAAUUGUUGCUUUCAAACCAACAGUAAAGUGUCCAUUCUAUGAAUGAUACAUUGAUAUAUACACAUUAUAGAAGGAUGGAUACAGAGUUUCUUCAGGUCCAUGAAUGAGGUAUUCAGCAGUUGACAUGGAUCAGAAAUGAAGGUAAUUUUUGCCAACUCUUCAGACUUGAGCUCCUUCACUAGGAUCCCCAUGAUUGAAGAAAAGAACAAACUUCAGACAACUUGUCUCAGAUUUUUAUGUAGUUAAGAUUUCCUGGUCUUGGUCCUCGGAAGGAAGGAUAUCUUGCUUUCCAAUUCUUGUUUAUCCUAUAAUCCUCUCUGCUGCAUUCAUGCAAAUAGAUUACUGUGCAUUUCUUUAAUAGGUUACAAUUGCUAUUUUAAUUAUGUUGCCAAGAACUAUAGAAAAAAAGAAGGACUGUAUCAAAGCAUCAUAUGAAAAUCCGACUAAGGUAAUGUGGCCAUUGGAAAUUUGUAACUGACCUGAAACUCUUACUAGAGACAAAAUGCCAUAAAAGGUCUUCUCUAGAUAUCUGGUGUAGUAGUUGGUGUUCCCCAACAGACAGUAAAGGAUGAAUCUCUCUGUACAGAGAAAUCGGACUAGUCACAAUGAUCACAGACUAUGGAACACAUAAUUUAACAAUGACUGACUAUUUUUAAAGUCCUAGAAUCCAUUAGUUUAUUAGUCCAAAAGGCAAGAUGUCUUAUCUGGUCAUUGACAUAUGGAUAAAUAUUCAGUAUGCAGGUUCUAAUGUCUAUGAGGAUUUGGUAUCACUGUGAGUGCAAAAAUGAAAAAGUAAAGGCUUCUUUCUUCCAUGUUUUCUACGGGGAUUCAAAUAGAAUGCAUGGUUUAGAAUACAUUGGGUUUGCCAUUCUCAAACAGACCAAUAUCUUCAACUGAACAUUCUUUUCUUGGAAGCUGCACCCUGUCAGCAUGGCUCACGUGUAUGUGAACUGCAAGAUCUAGUCUGGGAAGGCGGUCCUGUUCAUCGAUCCAACCUGCCCCUAAUACUGAAAUACCCAAGACUUCCUCAAUCAACUCCUUUGCAAACAUGGUCUUCUGGGAUUUGAAGACAUUACAUCUACUAACAACACCAAUGCAAUUCAAGAUUACUUUCAACAGCUCCCUGGAGUGAGAAUUGUUCCUUGGGUCCUUAUAUGUAGAGAAAGACUGCAUAGGCAGACACAGUGAUCUAAUCUACCUGAAACAGAAUGAAGAGAUGAUGAUGUGGCUGAAGCAGAUUGGAGCUCUGCAUUUAUUAAAGGGAUGGCAGUAAAAGCCCAUGCUGACAGCAGACAUUCAGACAUGCUGAAGCCAUGCUGAGACUUGAUGUUUGUCACAGAUGAUGUCAGUAUUUUCUUAUGACUGGGAUUUUCAACAAAUUGGCUUUCAUUCUAUUCCUCAUUCCAAAAAAUCUGUUGCUGUAGGCCUCAAACCAUGGGGCAGGGAAACUUAAGAGACAACAGAGGAUUGAUAAUCCAGUCUUCAUUCACUGACUUGUCUCUACCUCUAAGUCCAUGUUUCACAAUCCAGUGCAUUUAAAUCUCCAGGGAAUCAGUUACUGUUUCUCUACCAUGCUGGUCUCCUGAAGUCAUUUUACAGAAGUCCACUUCCAAGUAAUUAUUAAAGCAAUGAAUAUUUUGAAGUUGUUUAUGAUCUACACACAGGCUUUUUACGCCCCAAGCAUGUACCAUCCCACUUCUGCAUUUGUAGCUCUCAGCCAGUGUUCUUGACCUAUCCAUCCAGCAACCCUUAGAUUCCACACUUUGUAUGAGGAUAAUAUUUGAAAAAACAGAAGAAUAGCUGGAGCAUAGUUGUUCUUCACUGAAGCCAUAUUAACACAGACGGCAGAGCAUAUGAUGCAUUCAUCUCUGUUGUAGUGUUUAAUUCCCCGUAAAGUCCCAAACAAUUGAGAGUUGAUUCUGUCAGAGUACCAGCAAAGUCAAAUAGGAAAUGCAAAAUUUCAGAAUUCUCCUGCCAAAGAUGUUUGUGAAAGAAGUUGUUUGCAAAACACUGUCUUAAUAAAUUUAUUCCAUUCUCACUUUGAUAUUUUGAUUUGAUGUCUUGAAGUGACGUUUAAUUAUCACUGAAAUGCAGGUCCCCUCUAUAGUCUCCAGUAAGAAGAAUUCAUUCCUCAAAAGGAUGUAUCUGCAGAUGCCUGAAAAAAUAAUAGAAAGAAUAUUUCUUGAUAAAGAUCUAGGUUAAAGUUGAAACAUCCUACCACAAAGAUACAUAUAAGAAGUUCAUUUGACAUUGACCUUAUAUUAUGCAGAAAUUCUUCACAUAUUCCCUCUAUCGUUGGGGUUUAAUUAAUCUCCAAUGAAUAGUUGACAAUGAAGAGUAGCCUUUAGAAUCAUUUUACCCUUUUCAGUAAUAGUUUUAAGCAAAUGGAACACUAAAAGAUCACAAAGAAGAAAUGGUUAUAAUCAAAAGAUACAUGUGGGACAGUCUAACUCUCAUGGUCAAGAUGACUUUGCACAUGCUCCUUAUGGUCAUGGAUUGCUCUCAUAAUACUCUGCAGAAGGUUGUUCCUACUGCCUCACUUUAAGCUCCAGGAAUUCCAAGCUACCAGAGCUGUUCAAGUUCCCUUACAAUGCACUUGAAAGCCACAUAUGCUUAGGAACUUUUGAUGUGCUUUAGCUCUAUUGUCAGGUUUUUUUAAGCCUCUACCAAAUAGCAAGCUGUCCUUUUUACCCCCUUCUCAACACCUCUAAAUCUGCCCUAACUCAAUUUCUCAAUUGACAUUAGUCAUAGCUCAGCACCCCAAAUAUGCACUCAUCUUACUGUGUUUUUAACAUCCUGCCUGCUACACCAAUGGCCACUCCAUACUAGAUCUCACAUGACUGGUAACUCUUGCUCCACCCUAAAUCUUUUCUCCACCCUUGUGUCUACUAGCCUGUUGGUAGAAAUCCACACAACUGAUUGGCCAAGAGCAUCUUUAUUGAACUAUACAGAAUCAAUUUGGGAACAGGACCUUCAGUGUUCGCAGGAUGAUUCCCGAUCUAAGAAUCAAAACGAUAGCAAACAAGACUCAAUCCAUGUCUCUGGUUUUGGGAGGGAGAUAGAGCACUUAGAUUCAGAGUUGAAAUUUAAAUAAUUAUAAUAUAUAUGUAGUAUUAAUUAUGCCAGGAUAAAAGGAUCCAAAAAGUGGAAAUGGGCAACAUUAAAGGCAAGAGAAAAAUCCCUACUACAGCAAACAAUGUGGACCUGUUAGAAAGACUGGUCUCUUUCCAGCCAUCUGAAUUUGUACUUGAAAUUCUUCUAACCACUCUUGAUCUCUGCAUGUAGAAAAGAACAAAAAGAAAAAGAAAACAAAAUAAAACAAAAAAUCACCAAAAUGAAACCAAAAGCAAAAGCAAUAGCUAAUCAACCCAAUCCUAAAAGAAGAGGACCGAGUGAAGAUUGCUUGAGGUCCUCAUUUUUAACUACAACUACAAGUCACCAAUAGCUUUCAAUGCAAAAGUUUGUCAUUAUUUUAUUUGAAACUUCUCUGUGGGUCAAAGAAACAAGGUUUAUAAGCUGCAACAACAGGAAAGAGAAAAAAAUCAUACUGUAGAGCUCAACACUGAUAUUACUAUGGUGACUGUGGGCAAUGCAGAGAAUAUUGGUGUUUGACAAUGGGUUUUGUGGUUUUCUAUAUGCUGGCAAUAUCUAUGACUCUGAAAUGAAUUAGAGUCAUCACCAAAUCAUCACUAAAUGAACUGCUCCUUUCUUUGGAGCACAAGAUCUGGCAAACUGUUGACUGACUAUGAUUUUUAACUUGGAUCUAGCCUCUGUGGUAAAGCUAAGGCUUCUGAUGGAAAAUCCUCCACCAAAAUACUGGACUAUCAAUUGUGCUGCCAGCCAAAAACCAAGUCCUGACUCUACCCUGCAAUCCAGAAGAGGUUUCAAAGUGUCAAACAUAACAAUAUUUUAAUUGUGGUUUUGUCUUUUUUUCACUUUUUAUUUUAAAUAAAGUGUGAUUUCUGGCAUAAUUCCUUCUAAUUUCUUCCUCACAUAGAACUUCACUUUGACCUCAAAUUCCAUUCAUGAAGGGGUACUCUUAUCUUUCGUUGGCUAAGUUUUCUAUUUUGCUUUUAUGGCUUGCUGUGAUUGCUUAUUGUGACUGUCUAAAUGAUGCAUUAUUGAGCAACUGACACCAUAAGAAUGGCUUGCGGCAAAAGAUGCCUCAACAUAUAAAAGAGACACGUGCUCCACUAUGUUCAUCGCAGCCUUAUUUAUAAUAGCCAGAAACUGGAAAGAACCCAGAUGCCCUUCAACAGAGGAAUGGAUACAGAAAUGUGGUACAUCUACACAAUGGAAUAUUACUCAGCUAUCAAAAAGAAUGAUUUCAUGAAAUUCGUAGGCAAAUUGUUGGAACUGGAAAAUAUCAUCCUGAGUGAGCUAACCCAAUCACAGAAAGACAUACAUGGUAUGCACUCAUUGACAAGUGUCUAUUAGCCCAAAUGCUUGAAUUACCCUAGAUGCCUAGAACAAAUGAAACUCAAGACUGAUGAUCAUAAUGUGAAUGCUUCACUCCUUCUUUAAAAGGGGAACAAGAAUACCCUUGGCAGGGAAGAGAGAGGCAAAGAUUAAAACAGAGACUGAAGGAACACCCAUUCAGAGCCUGCCCCACAUGUGACCCAGACAUACAGCCACCCAAUUAGACAAGAUGGAUGAAGCAAAGAAUUGCAGACCGACAGGAGCCGGAUGUAGAUCGCUCCUGAGAGACACAGCCAGAAUACAGCAAACACAGAGGCGAAUGCCAGCAGCAAACCACUGAACUGAGAAUAGGACCCCCGUUGAAGGAAUCAGAGAAAGAACUGGAAGAGCUUGAAGGGGCUCGAGACCCCAUAUGUACAACAAUGCCAAGCAACCAGAGCUUCCAGGGACUAAGCCACUACCUAAAGACUAUACAUGGACUGACCCUGGACACUGACCUCAUAGGUAGCAAUGAAUAUCCUAGUAAGAGCACCAGUGGAAGGGGAAGCCCUGGGUCCUGCUAAGACUGAACCCCCA